rnacentral:rRNA from 1 species
AACGAACGCUGGCGGCAGGCCUAACACAUGCAAGUCGAGCGAACCCUUCGGGGUUAGCGGCGGACGGGUUAGUAACGCGUGGGAAUAUACCCUUUGGUACGGAAUAGCCUCGGGAAACUGAGAGUAAUACCGUAUGUGCCCUUCGGGGAAGGAUUAUCGCCAAGGAUUAGCCCGCGUUGGAUUAGAUAGUUGGUGGGGUAAGUGGCCUACCAAGUCUACGAUCCAUAGCUGGUUUGAGAGGAUGAUCAGCAACACUGGGACUGAGACACGGCCCAGACUCCUACGGGAGGCAGCAGUGGGGAAUCUUAGACAAUGGGCGCAAGCCUGAUCUAGCCAUGCCGCGUGGACGAUGAAGGCCUUAGGGUUGUAAAGUCCUUUCAGAUGGGAAGGAUAAUGACGGUACCAUCAGAAGAAG